UGCAGACUGGAUAAUGAGUGCGGAGGAAGAAAAGUCAGGGUCCGUACCAUCAAGAGACCCUCUUGCUGAGGAGGAAAUUGAGCCCAGUGAUGAGUCAAAUCACCGCCAAUACCUGCACAGGUUAUUUGGUGAGGCGACCGCUAAGUAUUUCCUCAGCCACUCCACCUUGGAGACAGACACGCCCCCAUGGUACACUCACAUGAUGGAUCGCAUGGGAGACAGCGUAGGUGCAGAGGCCGUAUGGAAGGCCUUGAGUGAUCGGACCAGAGCCUUAGUGAUGGAAAUAGAGGCAAACUCUCACCAGGUUGAGGAGGUCAAUUUGGACCGAAAAGGAGCGCGAGGCAGAACCCUUCGCCAUCUGUCCGGAGUCAAGUUGAUGUUCCGUUCAGCUAAAUAUCGUGAAGCAUGUUCCGCCAUACUUCUAGAACGGAAU
rnacentral:lncRNA from 1 species